GACGAGCGUUGGCGGCGUGCUUAACACAUGCAAGUCGAACGGAAAGGCCCUGCUUUUGUGGGGUGCUCGAGUGGCGAACGGGUGAGUAACACGUGAGUAACCUGCCCUUGACUUUGGGAUAACUUCAGGAAACUGGGGCUAAUACCGGAUAGGAGCUCCUGCUGCAUGGUGGGGGUUGGAAAGUUUCGGCGGUUGGGGAUGGACUCGCGGCUUAUCAGCUUGUUGGUGGGGUAGUGGCUUACCAAGGCUUUGACGGGUAGCCGGCCUGAGAGGGUGACCGGCCACAUUGGGACUGAGAUACGGCCCAGACUCCUACGGGAGGCAGCAGUGGGGAAUAUUGCACAAUGGGCGGAAGCCUGAUGCAGCAACGCCGCGUGCGGGAUGACGGCCUUCGGGUUGUAAACCGCUUUCGCCCGUGACGAAGCGUGAGUGACGGUAAUGGGUAAAGAAGCACCGGCUAACUACGUGCCAGCAGCCGCGGUGAUACGUAGGGUGCGAGCGUUGUCCGGAUUUAUUGGGCGUAAAGGGCUCGUAGGUGGUUGAUCGCGUCGGAAGUGUAAUCUUGGGGCUUAACCCUGAGCGUGCUUUCGAUACGGGUUGACUUGAGGAAGGUAGGGGAGAAUGGAAUUCCUGGUGGAGCGGUGGAAUGCGCAGAUAUCAGGAGGAACACCAGUGGCGAAGGCGGUUCUCUGGGCCUUUCCUGACGCUGAGGAGCGAAAGCGUGGGGAGCGAACAGGCUUAGAUACCCUGGUAGUCCACGCUGUAAACGGUGGGUACUAGGUGUGGGGUCCAUUCCACGGGUUCCGUGCCGUAGCUAACGCUUUAAGUACCCCGCCUGGGGAGUACGGCCGCAAGGCUAAAACUCAAAGGAAUUGACGGGGCCCCGCACAAGCGGCGGAGCAUGCGGAUUAAUUCGAUGCAACGCGUAGAACCUUACCUGGGUUUGACAUGGAUCGGGAGUGCUCAGAGAUGGGUGUGCCUCUUUUGGGGUCGGUUCACAGGUGGUGCAUGCCUGUCGUCAGCUCGUGUCGUGAGAUGUUGGGUUAAGUCCCGCAACGAGCGCAACCCUUGUUCACUGUUGCCAGCACGUUAUGGUGGGGACUCAGUGGAGACCGCCGGGGUCAACUCGGAGGAAGGUGGGGAUGACGUCAAGUCCUCAUGCCCCUUAUGUCCAGGGCUUCACGCAUGCUACAAUGGCUGGUACAGAGAGUGGCGAGCCUGUGAGGGUGAGCGAAUCUCGGAAAGCCGGUCUCAGUUCGGAUUGGGGUCUGCAACUCGACCUCAUGAAGUCGGAGUCGCUAGUAAUCGCAAAUGAGCAACGCUGCGGUGAAUCCGUUCCCGGGGC
rnacentral:rRNA from 1 species